CAGCAAUGGGACAGCUGCUACCUCCAGACACAGGAGAAAGGGGUUCUGCAGCUGGCUAGAAAACCCCCAUAAAGCCCUCAGGCCAGCAGGGACACUGCAGGCAGUGGCUGGCCAAGCUGUGGAGGCAGGGGAGGUACAGCUGCCCCUGCCCAGGCACAGCAAGGGCUGAGCCUCACCCCGGGGCACGGCUGGCGAGUACCAGGUGAGGUGCAAGAAAAGGGAGUGGGAUGGAGAGUCCUGGGCAGCACUGUGCAUCUCCCUUAGAGGAAUCAGCAGCAAGUGCUCCUCGGAACAGACUCAAAGCUGAAGGACAGAGAAGGAACCAAGCCUGUUCCUCCGUGUGUCAAGUGAGUGGUCAGACGUGUUUUGCUGGAAUAACAGCAAAUGGAAUUUAUAUUUUUCAAUAAAAAGCAGAGGCUGACAACUCGUAGAUUUCUGUCAUGCACUGCAAUGCAUCUAAGGCCUGACAUUAGCCCAGCAUGCCAUGUCUGAUGGCUUAAAUUAAUCCUCCUUUAUAAUUAACUUUAAUUUCCUGCUGCCUUUCUGGGGCUUUGUGUCUCUCAGCUUCCUCCUCAUCAAAGCCUUUACUCCAUUUUUUUUAUUAUUUUUUCUUGCCAAAAUAUCAUUUAAGUGGGGGGGAUAUACAAGAGUGUUUCAUUCCAUCACAUUCAUUUGACUUUUCCUGCUGAUCUAAUUUACGAAAAUGCUGUUUGUUUCAGGCACAACUGGGAAAAUAGCAAGAUCCCAACAGAAAUUUCCAACCCCAAACACCCUUUCCUUAGAGCAAAUGGGACUCACAGGAGAUUUCAAUUGAUUAAUUUAAAAAAAAAAGCUUGUAACUCAGCUGCUUGUAACUUCCCUCUCAUAAAGAGCUGCAGGAGCCCAGCAUGGUCAGGUGAGUGUUGUGGGCUGAGGCUGUGAGGACUCUCCUGCAAUGCUUGCACCAAGCAGCUUUAAGGGGCAGCUCGUGCAAAAGGUGUUUUAAGUUUAUUGCAGGCUCCUCCAGCGGGACUGAGCAACCCUUCAGCUCCUGUGACUGUGCUAUAUUUAACAGGACUCUUUGGCCAAAGCUGAGCCAGAGGAGCUGCUGGCAACAGAACUCGUGUGAAUUUAAGGGAGCUUCCUCAACCGUGGCACUGCUGGGAGCUGGCCAGACAGCACAUUUCACGUGCACCAACAGGUACUGCAAAGUGUGCGAAAUCCUGCCUUGGCUGUAAAUGCUCCGCUGCCACUCACCCUCAGCAUGGACAGAAAUAUCAAUAUUGCAUUUCUCUGGCCACACAGCAACAGUGCAGGUGCACACACCAGCCCCUAUGGGCAAGUGAAGGGGUCCCAAAGCAGCUGCUGAGGCAGCAGCACUCAGCCCCACACGGGCAGCCCUUGGGGCUCACACAGUUCAGCCCAUGGGAAGUGCACCACACUGACUGAGAUGAUGUGCAUGCAAG